ensembl:lncRNA
UUUUUUUUUUUUUUUUUUUUUGUAUGAAAUCUGUAGUGGAUUUGAAAUUAAUUUUUUAGUUUUGAGCACCAGGGAAGAGUUUUGGUUACAGAAGCUGGAUGGGAUUGAUUAUUUUCAUGGAGUCACACGUGGAACAAGGCAGAGGCCACAAUGAAAGAAGGGGCUUGCCACCAGGAUGUCAGCAGGGAAAGAUUUCUCAAAGUGAGGGAAAGGAGGGAAGUUGGUAUUUUCAUAUUUCAGUCCAAGCCCUUUCUUUGGCUGCCACAGACCCAUUGUCACUCUGUGCUGAUCUGCAUUUUAUCCUGCAGCCUCCUCCCCACUUUUCCAUGGCACUGCCCUUGGCCAGCUCCUUUUGAACAGCAAAUCUUUCCAAACUCCUCCAGGCAGUGGAGGAUCCAUGGGAACACCUUUGCCUAAGUGCAAAAAGCCAAAAGCAAGAAUAACCCUGACUUUGCAAAAGGGGGAACAAGAAGUGUGCCAGGCUGAAGGUGCAGAAUUGCUCAGCAGCAGCAGCAAUUGCUCUCUGAGGCUCUUCUUGCCUUAUUAAAUCAAGUCAAUACUUGCUCAAUGAUCAGAAUCUCUCCCAGUUUCAGUCUCGUGCUGGAGCUCAGAGGAGGAGGCUCCAGCAAGGCCUCCCUGCUGCUCUGCUCAGCUCCCCAGCAGCGCAGGGAUGGGAGCAGGAGCAGCUCUCCUGCCCGGGGAUAUUGCUGAAACCUGCCACGUGGAAAUCCAUUCCUCCCUGGGGAUGGACACUCCCCUCUGGAGUCACCUGCAGCAGGUGAGGAAUUCCUUGGGUGUAGCAGAUUCUUCAUUUACCUUUGGGCAGGUGGCAGAGAAAUUACAGGUUAGGGAGGCAGUUCAAAAGGGAAAAAGCCCAGGGCAAUUAGGGAGCCCUUCACAAGCAGGAGAUUAAUUCCUGCCAGGCUGCAUUCUGGGGUGCUGGGAUCUGCUCCCAGUGCCAGCAGAUGACAUCCAGGAGUGCAAGGCUUUGAUUUUGAAAUUGUACACAUAAAUAUAUACACACACAUAUGUAUUUUAUCUGAGGGAAGAUUGUAAUCGUUUAAUCAAAGGUGAAAUUUUCAAGGUGCAGAAGGAACUCUGCUCUUCAGAUUAUGUAUUAAAGUUGGAUAUGCAUUUCUAAAUCUUGUUUUGUUGUUUCAACACAACAAUAUGUGGAUAUGGCUUUACUUGCAGUAUAUAUAACAUAUUGGUCAGUACAAAAAUAUAUGGCUGCUGUCCUGAGAAAGCCAUUUAAUGCGUGAUAAGCUGGGGCUGUGUUAGCUGUGAAAAGCAUUUAAAUACCACGGUUACUUUUGCACAUGGACUGGAGACACCUCUAGUUCUUUGCCUGAAAACACAAGGUAGGUAAGAGACCCUUGUGACAGUUUUGUGUCCCUUUUGAAGGAAUUAAUCCCACAGAAUAAAUAAAUAGUGCCUAAUAAGUAAAUUUUGAAGCCUCUGUUGAGCAGCCAGAACUGGGGAAUUUACCCAGCCCCAGCAUUAAUUCACACACCAGGGAUGUGCAGUCUCACUGGCUAUUUCAGCUCUUCCUCUGCCCAAAUUAACUCCUUCCAUCAAUGUUUCCACCCUACACUGAGGGGUGGGUGAUGCUGAGGGAGCCUACGGGCACAAGGGAGAGGGGAUUCUUGCAGCAAUUUUAUUCCUGAGAAAAUAACCACAUUGCAUUAGAGGAGUCAAUGCUCCUGUGUACUGAGAUUUAAAAAACCCCAAUAGAUUUGGGGUUUCUGUCUCCUAAUUCAACUGAAGGAACCAGUGAUUGAAAGGUUCCUAAAAAUUAUAAAAUUCAUUAGAUGGUUCUUUAUUAUUAAUUUAUUAUUCUUAGGUUUUCACAAGAUGCAGUUCUCUCAGAGGAGCUCAGAACCAGACUGGUGCAGAUUUUGUGAGUGAAUGAAGGAAAACCAUUUCUCUGUUCUAGCCACACAAACCUUUCUCUGAGGAUGCUAAUCCCCAGGGCUCUGAGAUGCCAUUAGGGCACUUAAAGGUGUCCUGUGCUGUUUCCUCGGGGUUGCUCCUUUCCCCUGGGCAUCAGCAGCUGCAGCCAAGGCAGGCAGGAGUGCAGCUGAACCAGCCUGACUCGGGCAUCUGCUGGGAGAGUGGCUGCAAUCUGAAGGAAGUGUUUCCCCUGGCUAAAAACCAGCCUGGGAACAGCCACUUCUGCAGAUAGGCAGCCCUCAAUUUCAAAAUCCAGUUUACAGUGUCCUGCCUUGCUGGACACUGCCAUGCCCACCUGCAGCUUGGUGUGGAGCUGUGAAAAACAACCCCAAACCUGAGUGAAUUCUCCCCAGCCUCCCCCCCAGCCUCCCUGGAAGCCUCCUGGGCUUUAGCACUCUCCCAUCUUGCCUCCCACUGUUUUCCAGCGCCUUUGUGGAUCUGGUUCUGCUCACGGGCUUUGCAUUUGGAUUCCUUCACCCUUUGCCAAAAUCCUUUCCUAAAUCCUCAAAAUUCCAGAAGAAUGCUUUGCUUACCUUUUCCUGGUUCCUUCUUUGACCCAGAGCUGAAGGAAUGCAGUGACAGCCUCAGCUCUGCCAGGAGAAUUCCACCAAUUAAUAUUGGUUCAGGAGCUGAUGGAUGAGCAGAUGCCACUUCAAUUCAAAAGUGAUGUGCUAAAAAGGGCUUGCGGGAAAUUUAUUAUUUCACCAAAGAAUUACUCAAAUUGUUGAGUGCAGGCUAAUGAAGAACUACUGGUACACAAAGUUUUACACAUUUAAGUCUUAUCAGAAACUUGUGCAAUGUUGUUUAUGGAAUUGUCCUGAUUCAGAUGUGGCUGUUAAACCACUUUUGUGAAGACUAAAUAGAUGUCAUGGCACAGAAUAAACACUGAUAUCUGAUCAGCAUCACUGGAAAUGAACUGAUUACUUACUGAAGUGUUUAUUUAUGGACAAAGAUACCAGGGAUGAACCAUGGAGUCAGGACCAUCAUUCUUUGAUACAGUUGAAAAGAGUCCUUUGUGUGAGAUGAAUCCUUCAAACUAAUACUUCUUAUCCAGUGCUUGCCUCUCUGCCUAUUUUCCACACCUUUAUAUUAUCAGCUAUCAAUUUAUACGAAAAAUGUCCCUUAUGUAUUGCUCUGUGCCCCUUUGGCUGUGGUAAACUGCUCCAAAUCCCACCUUCCUGCAUCCUGUACCUCCAAGUGUCACUGGAUGCACGCUCAGCAGAGAUAUUCUGUCAUCAGUUUUUUAUUCUCCUGGUUUCAACUGCACACUGAAUACUGAGAUUAUAAAAAGAUAUGAUCUCAUUGCUGAAGUGUCUCCAACCACCAGUGGACUGAAAUGGUCUUCCUUAUUCAACAAGCCAAAUGCAGCAUUUCACAGCUCUUUUGAACACAGCUGUGGAGCUCUUAAUUGAAUAUUAGUGUAAACCCCAAUUGUGCUGGAUUUUCAAAAGGCUGGAGGGGAGAUGUAAACUUGUUGGCCAUGUUAGCAGAGGUGUGGUGGUUCCCCUUCUCCAGGAAUAAGACACAAGUUCAAGUCAGGAGGGAAAAUCAUUGAAAAACUGGGAAUUUAUGGUGCUUGUCUUGUCCACAGUCACUUUUGUGCAAGUGGUGACCAGAGAGCAUCCAAGAAAAGUAUAUUUCCCAAAUCUUAGGGCCAGUACCUGUGCCCAGAGACUGAACUAAGCAGGAAAUUCCAUAAGCAGUAAUUCCUGCACUGUUCCUUCAUCACCAGCAUCAAACCUCUCCAGGUGCUGCCCUGGAGUUACACAUGGAGGGUGCCUCAACACUGCCAGCAAAGCCUAUUUGUGUGGAGGCACCUCUGUUUUGAUCUUGUUCCAUCUGGAGGUCAAUAAAACUCACUGGAGUCACCUCCAGCAGGAAUCCUUGGUGUAUUAGGGAACAUCUAUAUGUUAUUGUCUUGGUUUGAAAAGCCAGGUGUCUGCUAAGGAAGGCUCCCCUGAAAUGGAAAAUGUAAAUCCCCUCCCUCUGAAUUAUUAUAGUUUUGAAAUCAGAUAAAGAUAUGGGAAUAGGAAUAACAGUUCUUUACUAGCAGAACUAAAAAAACCCAAAAAACAAAACCAAAAAAUACAAAUGUAGUAGGACAAACAAAAAAAACCCCAAACCACUGGCAGAGUCAGAGCAUGCCUGGCAGCCUGUGUGUCAGGGAGGUGUCAGCAGCCCCAUCCCAGGGUGGCUCAGCCCUCCUGCAGUGCCAGCUGUGCUUCUGCUGGAGCAGGAUCCUGCACAAGGGGGGAGUUUUCCUCUGGAGCUCCAGGGCUGGGGGAGAUGGGCCUGGGCUCCUCUGGGAAUGCAGUGGGAAGAAAGCUGCUCCUCUGGGAAUGCAGUGGGGAGAAAGCUGCUCCUCUGGGAAUGCAGGGGUCAAAGGCUGCUGUGCUGUUCCCAGGUCAGAUUGUAUCCAGGUAGGAAUGUUUGGCUCCUCCCCUGGGCAGAGCAUCUCCCCAUGGAUGAUGGAAUUUUCUCAGCCAUGCAGGGACACUCAGUGGCCAUGGACAGAAGGGAUCUCCUGGAGGGAGGAUUGGCUGUGGGAGAGAUAAAGAAAACUGCCCAGUGAACAGAGGAGAACUGCCCCAGCUGGUUCUAACAGCUGGCAGUAGAACCCCCCACCCCAGCCACAUCUGGCACUGCACCCCCAGACAGCUGUGUGCACUAAAGCUGCUUUCUAGGCUGACAUUCAUGGUAACUUUUGCUUUAUCUCCAUCUCCAUGUGCAAAACCUGCCAGGGCCAUUUUGUGUUCACAUCUUCUCUUGUAGUGGAGCAGAAAUUGUGAACAUUCAACUGCAAAAAGCCUCUUCAUGUAUCUGGUUUGAAGUGAGCGCAAAGAUAAUACAAAACACUCAGAUUCUCUUGUGUUCCUCUAAUUUCAGUGCUCAGAGUCCCAUAAAUUAUCACUUGAUGGGCCUUUAAGAUUCUGCCUCAGUGGAAUUUAUUGGGCAAUAUCAAAAGCAAACAAGUGGAGAAUGAAACCCAGCUUCCAAUCUAAGGGUACUGUUCCAUGCUGAAUUGUCCACAGAAACUGUAAUUGCUUUCUAGCAGGAAGCAAAAGAUGUUAAAUCUCUUUCAGAAGUAGAAAUUAGUCAUGCACAGAUCAAAAUCUAUUCAUGUGCAAACACCACUCAUCAAUAAAUUGCAGCUGCCUGAAAAUAGCUGCAAGCCAGUGGAGAAUAUUCUGUGUAUUUGUCAAGUUAAUCACUUACAUAAAAUUGCAUGUUGGAUGACACUGAUGAAGCUCAUGAUUUUCAACUAUUUCCUUGGCCUACAGAGUGAUUACUCAAAAAGUGUUUCUUCAGAAAAAGAACUCAUCAAGGAUCUUUUUGACAAAAUGCUUUUUCAUUGGAAAACAAGAUUCAUGCCCAGUUUUGCAUGGAAAGUUCAAAGUUUUGCAUGGAAACCAAUUUAUUUUGGUGAAGCUUUUGUAAGGGAAGGUCUCAGAGCUCUAGUUCAAUGUUUCUGGUUUAGAUGAGGCGUCCCUUCAUUCCAAAUGAUCACAUAGUCUAGGCCAAUUGCUCUGAACAAAGAAGUUCCAGGAUUUUUCUCUUAUUUUUGUGUAUUUAUACAAAGUAAACGAGUUCCAUCAGGAGAGACUUAAAGGAAAAAAAAAAUUAAACCCAAACAAAAAGAAGCAAAACAAACCAAAACCAAACCAACCCCCCACAAAAAAAGAAAAAAACCCACCAAACCCCCCAAAACAAGCAAACAAACAAAAAAUCCAAAACAAACAAACCAACCAAAACAAAACAAAAAAAAAAAAA